rnacentral:rRNA from 1 species
UACAGAGGUGGCAAGCGUUGUUCGGAAUUACUGGGCGUAAAGGGCGCGUAGGCGGCCAUCUAAGUCAGACGUGAAAUCCCCAGGCUCAACCUGGGAACUGCGUCCGAUACUGGAUGGCUUGAAUUCGGGAGAGGGAUGCAGAAUUCCAGGUGUAGCGGUGAAAUGCGUAGAUAUCUGGAGGAAUACCGGUGGCGAAGGCGGCAUCCUGGACCGACAUUGACGCUGAGGAGCGAAAGCUAGGGGAGCAAACGGG